rfam:Leptolyngbya sp. Heron Island J, whole genome shotgun sequence.
GAGCCUGUAGCUCAGUGGACAGAGCACCUGGCUACGGACCAGGGUGUCGGGGGUUCGAAUCCCUCCAGGCUCG